CCCUUGAAUUAUAUAUUCCACUUUGUUUCAAUACACGGAGAUGGGUGAAUUUCAGCAAGAUACCGUUAUCUCAUUUAUCACAUUUACCGACAUACAAGGGGUGUAGGGCAUCUCAUUUAUCACAUUUACCGACAUACAAGGGGUGCAGGUUAUCUCAUUUAUCACAUUUACCGACAUACAAGGGGUGCAGGUUGUCUCAUUUAUCACAUUUACUGACAUACAAGGGGUGCAGGUUGUCUCAUUUAUCACAUUUACCGACAUACAAGGGGUGCAGGUUGUCUCAUUUAUCACAUUUACCGACAUACAAGGGGUGCAGGUUGUCUCAUUUAUCACAUUUACCGACAUACAAGGGGUGCAGGUUAUCUCAUUUAUCACAUUUACCGACAUACAAGGGGUGCAGGUUGUCUCAUUUAUCACAUUUACCGACAUACAAGGGGUGCAGGUUGUCUCAUUUAUCACAUUUACCGACAUACAAGGGGUGCAGGUUGUCUCAUUUAUCACAUUUACCGACAUACAAGGGGUGCAGGUUAUCUCAUUUAUCACAUUUACCGACAUACAAGGGGUGCAGGUUGUCUCAUUUAUCACAUUUACCGACAUACAAGGGGUGUAGGUUAUCUCAUUUAUC